AUACUGACUAGACAUCAACAUUGAACAUUGUGGAUAAUGGCCUAUUAACGGGCCACACAGGGCAACACAUUUGUGUGGGAUAGGUCACUUCUACAGCGGGUUCUAUUUCGUCCAAACAUCUGAGGUGACAUCUGAGCAGCCAUGAAGAACCUAAUGUGUUUGGCGUCUAUAUGUGCAGCUAAAACACAGAGUACAACCAUCAUAUAAGUGACCCCCAAAUGCACUACUUUCAUGUACUGAAUCUUUAUAUCUCUAUUACUUCCCUUCAGUCAUCUGUGACAUUUCACUGUUUAAGAGUUCUAUGCUAUAUCUCAUAAUCAAUAUUGACACAAGUCCCGUUCAUGCUUAAAAUGGAAAUGGAAGAAGUAUCUCGGACCCGAAUGAAGAUUUUGGUCAUUGGGGCCACUAGCCCGAUGGGGCUCCUUAUCAUUACAGAAGCUUUGACCAGGGGCUAUGAGGUGAUAGCACUGGCGAGGAAUCCAGAGAAAAUAACCGUUUUGAAUCCGAGAUU
rnacentral:sRNA from 1 species